UGCGGCAUGCCUUACACAUGCAAGUCGAACGGUAACGCGGGGGCAACCCUGGCGACGAGUGGCGAACGGGUGAGUAAUACAUCGGAACAUAUCCUGUAGCGGGGGAUAACCUGUCGAAAGAUAGGCUAAUACCGCAUACGAUCUACGGAUGAAAGCGGGGGACCGCAAGGCCUCGCACUAUAGGAGUGGCCGAUGUCGGAUUAGCUAGUUGGUGAGGUAAAGGCUUACCAAGGCGACGAUCCGUAGCUGGUCUGAGAGGACGAUCAGCCACACUGGAACUGAGACACGGUCCAGACUCCUACGGGAGGCAGCAGUGGGGAAUUUUGGACAAUGGGCGCAAGCCUGAUCCAGCCAUGCCGCGUGAGUGAAGAAGGCCUUCGGGUUGUAAAGCUCUUUCGGCGGGGACGAAACGGUUCGCACUAACACUGCGGACUAAUGACGGUACCCGCAUAAGAAGCACCGGCUAACUACGUGCCAGCAGCCGCGGUAAUACGUAGGGUGCAGGCGUUAAUCGGAAUUACUGGGCGUAAAGCGUGCGCAGGCGGUCUGUUAAGACAGGUGUGAAAUCCCCGAGCUCAACUUGGGAAUUGCGCUUGUAACUGGCAGGCUAGAGUGUGGCAGAGGGGGGUGGAAUUCCACGUGUAGCAGUGAAAUGCGUAGAUAUGUGGAGGAACACCGAUGGCGAAGGCAGCCCCCCUGGGUUAACACUGACGCUCAGGCACGAAAGCGUGGGGAAGCAAACAGGAUUAGAUACCCUCGUAGUUCACGCCCUAAUUUAUGUCAACUAGUUGUCGGGGAAGAAAUUCCUUGGUAUCGACGCUAACGCGUGAAGUUGACCCCCUGGGGAGUCCGGCCGCAAGGUUAAAACUCAAAGGAAUUGACCGGGGACCCGCACAAGCGGUGGAUUAUGUGGAUUAAUUCGAUGCAACGCGAAAAACCUUACCUACCCUUGACAUGCCAAGAACCUCGCAGAGAUGUGAGGGUGCCCGAAAGGGAACCUGGACACAGGUGCUGCAUGGCUGUCGUCAGCUCGUGUCGUGAGAUGUUGGGUUAAGUCCCGCAACGAGCGCAACCCUUGCCAUUAGUUGCGACAUUUAGUUGAGCACUCUAAUGGGACCGCCGGUGACAAACCGGAGGAAGGUGGGGAUGACGUCAAGUCCUCAUGGCCCUUAUGGGUAGGGCUUCACACGUAAUACAAUGGUCGGUACAGAGGGCUGCCAACCCGCGAGGGGGAGCUAAUCCCAGAAAGCCGAUCGUAGUCCGGAUUGUAGUCUGCAACUCGACUGCAUGAAGCCGGAAUCGCUAGUAAUCGCGGAUCAGCAUGUCGCGGUGAAUACGUUCCCGGGUCUUGUACACACCGCCCGUCACACCAUGGGAGUGGGUUCCACCAGAAGUAGUUAGCCUAACCGCAAGGAGGGCGAUUACCACGGUGAGAUUCAUGA
rnacentral:rRNA from 1 species